UACGUAGGGGGCAAGCGUUAAUCGGAAUUACUGGGCGUAAAGCGUGCGCAGGCGGUUGUGCAAGACAGAUGUGAAAUCCCCGGGCUUAACCUGGGAACUGCAUUUGUGACUGCACAGCUGGAGUGCGGCAGAGGGGGAUGGAAUUCCGCGUGUAGCAGUGAAAUGCGUAGAUAUGCGGAGGAACACCGAUGGCGAAGGCAAUCCCCUGGGCCUGCACUGACGCUCAUGCACGAAAGCGUGGGGAGCAAACAGG
rnacentral:rRNA from 1 species